AGUUGAAUCAGAAAUUGGAUUCUCUAACAAAAAAAUCAUCAGGUUCGAUUGGGAAAUCGGAAAUUGAUGAUGUAAUUACGAAAAUGCCAUUGUCAACGUCGAAGAUGCCGAGAUUUAUGAAGCCCACAAUCUGUAGUACACGAAAAUCAGGAACAGGUUAUCAGAAUUCGUAUAAGAAAGAAAUUAGACAUGAAAGAAGGAAGAAACAAUUACCGAUAUCUCGGGCAGAAUCUGUGAGUUUUCCUAUAAAGGGCCUGACCGAAAGCUACUCGGGCAGCAGUAUCUCAAGAGCAAGCUGCUUGGUGGAUUUGAAUGAUACAGAAUUCAGCCAUGAAACAUCACAAUGUAGC
rnacentral:lncRNA from 1 species